UCCAACCCAGGAUCCUACACUGCAGUUAGUUAUCAGAGCUCCUUCGUCCUCUACUUUGUGACAUUUCUUCAUUUUUUCCUUGUCUUUCAUAACCUUUACACUUUAGAAAGUACAGCAGUCUCUCUGUGUCCAGUAAUGAUAUGUGAAGGAUCAGCAUCCCCAAGUAAGCAUAAUAGAGAAGAUGCUUACCAGCUGUUUGGAAUGAAGGAAAGAAAGAACUGCUGCUGUUGUCAAAUUCUAGAUUUUAUUAUUUAGUCACAAAAGUGAAUGUUCUCUUUGGCAGUUGUAGCCAAUUUUGUCAUGAAUAAAUUUAAC